rnacentral:tRNA from 1 species
GGAGGGAUGGCCGAGUGGCUUAAGGCGGCGGUCUUGAAAACCGCUGGACGAAAGUCCCGUGGGUUCGAAUCCUACUCCCUCCGCCA